GAUCCUGGCUCAGAUUGAACGCUGGCGGCAGGCCUAACACAUGCAAGUCGAACGGUAACAGGAAGAAGCUUGCUCUUGCUGACGAGUGGCGGACGGGUGAGUAAUGUCUGGGAAACUGCCUGAUGAGGGGAUAACUACUGGAAACGGUAGCUAAUACCGCAUAACGUCGCAAGACCCAAAAGAGGGGGACCUUCGGGCCUCUUGCCAUCGGAUGUGCCCAGAUGGGAUUAGCUAGUAGGUGGGGUAACGGCUCACCUAGGCGACGAUCCCUAGCUGGUCUGAGAGGAUGACCAGCCACACUGGAACUGAGACACGGUCCAGACUCCUACGGGAGGCAGCAGUGGGGAAUAUUGCACAAUGGGCGCAAGCCUGAUGCAGCCAUGCCGCGUGUAUGAAGAAGGCCUCGGGUUGUAAAGUACUUCAGCGGGGAGGAAGGGAGUAAAGUUAAUACCUUUGCUCAUUGACGUUACCCGCAGAAGAAGCACCGGCUAACUCCGUG
rnacentral:rRNA from 1 species